GAUGAACGCUGGCGGCGUGCCUAAUACAUGCAAGUCGAGCGAACAGACGAGGAGCUUGCUCCUCUGACGUUAGCGGCGGACGGGUGAGUAACACGUGGAUAACCUACCUAUAAGACUGGGAUAACUUCGGGAAACCGGAGCUAAUACCGGAUAAUAUAUUGAACCGCAUGGUUCAAUAGUGAAAGACGGUUUUGCUGUCACUUAUAGAUGGAUCCGCGCCGCAUUAGCUAGUUGGUAAGGUAACGGCUUACCAAGGCGACGAUGCGUAGCCGACCUGAGAGGGUGACCGGCCACACUGGAACUGAGACACGGUCCAGACUCCUACGGGAGGCAGCAGUAGGGAAUCUUCCGCAAUGGGCGAAAGCCUGACGGAGCAACGCCGCGUGAGUGAUGAAGGUCUUCGGAUCGUAAAACUCUGUUAUUAGGGAAGAAAAAAUGUGUAAGUAAAUAUGCACGUCUUGACGGUACCUAAACAGAAAGCAACGGCUAACUACGUG
rnacentral:rRNA from 1 species